rnacentral:rRNA from 1 species
CCUACGGUAGUCAGCAGUGGGGAAUAUUGCACAAUGGGGGAAACCCUGCUGCAGCGACGCCGCGUGAGUGAAGAAUUAAUUCGUUAUGUAAAGCUCUAUCAGCAGGGACGAAAAUGACGGUACCUGAGUAAGAAGCCCCGGCUAACUACGUGCCAGCAGCCUCGGUAAUACGUAGGGGGCAAGCGUUAUCCUGAUUUACGGGGGGUAAAGGAGGCGUAGACGGCAGUGCACGUCUGGGUUGAAAGGCGGGGGCUCAACCCCCGGACUGCUCUGGAAACUGGACGGCUGGAGUGCAGGAGAGGUAAGUGGAAGUCCUAGUGUAGCGGUGAAAUGCGUAGAUAUUAGGAGGAACACCAGUGGCGAAGGCGGCUUACUGGACUGUAACUGACGUUGAGGCUCGAAAGCGUGGGGAGCAAACAGGAUUAGAUACCCGUGUAGUC